rnacentral:rRNA from 1 species
AUGAGAGUUCAAGAGUACGUGAAACCGAUUGACGGGUAAACGCAGUCUUUCUCGAAGUGUCCGCCAGGCACAAUUCAGCCCUGCUACUCGUAGCUGGUGCAGUUUGUGUAGGCAGGCCGUGGUAGGAACUGAUUACUAGGGGGCCAGGGCCGAUGCCUAGGUUUGCUUUCGCUGCAGUUCGCCUGCAGUGUCAGCCCUGGGCAGAGACAAGCUGGCGGUAGUCAGGGAGUAGCUUCUGCUUAGCGGAAGCUCUUCUACCAAGUAGAUCGGCGAAAGCUGCGACCCGUCUUGAAACACGGACC